AUUGAACGCUGGCGGCAUGCUUUACACAUGCAAGUCGAACGGCAGCACGGGCUUCGGCCUGGUGGCGAGUGGCGAACGGGUGAGUAAUAUAUCGGAACGUACCCAGAAGUGGGGGAUAACGUAGCGAAAGUUACGCUAAUACCGCAUACGAUCUAUGGAUGAAAGCAGGGGACCGCGAGGCCUUGUGCUCCUGGAGCGGCCGAUAUCUGAUUAGCUAGUUGGUGAGGUAAAGGCUCACCAAGGCGACGAUCAGUAGCUGGUCUGAGAGGACGACCAGCCACACUGGAACUGAGACACGGUCCAGACUCCUACGGGAGGCAGCAGUGGGGAAUUUUGGACAAGGGGCGCAAGCCUGAUCCAGCAAUGCCGCGUGAGUGAAGAAGGCCUUCGGGUUGUAAAGCUCUUUUGUCAGGGAAGAAACGGUAGAGGCUAAUAUCCUGUGCUAAUGACGGUACCUGAAGAAUAAGCACCGGCUAACUACGUG
rnacentral:rRNA from 1 species